rnacentral:rRNA from 1 species
GACGAACGCUGGCGGCGUGCUUAACACAUGCAAGUCGUACGGUAAGGCCCUUUCGGGGGUACCCGAGUGGCGAACGGGUGAGUAACACGUGAGUAACCUGCCCACAACUUUGGGAUAACGCUAGGAAACUGGUGCUAAUACUGGAUAUGUGCUCCUGCUGCAUGGUGGGGGUUGGAAAGCUCCGGCGGUUGUGGAUGGACUGGCGGCCUAUCAGCUUGUUGGUGGGGUAGUGGCCUACCAAGGCGGCGACGGGUAGCCGGCCUGAGAGGGUGACCGGCCACACUGAGACUGAGAGACGGCACAGGUGCCGAAGGGAGGAAGAAGGGGGGAAGAUUGCACAAGGGGCGCAAGCCGGAUGCAGCAAGGCCGCGGGCGGGAUAACGGCCUUCGGGUUGAAAACCGGGUUCAGCAGGGACGAAGCGUUCUGUGACGGUACCUGCAGAAGAAGCACCGGCUAACUACGUG